UGCAUGUCUAAGUACAUGCCGUAUUAAGGCGAAACCGCGAAUGGCUCAUUAAAUCAGUUAUGGUUCCUUGGAUCGUACCUUACUACUUGGAUAACUGUGGCAAUUCUAGAGCUAAUACAUGCAGCAGAGCUCCGACCCUCAGGGGACGAGCGCUUUUAUUAGACCAAAACCAAUCGGACCUCGUGUCCGUCUCUUGUGGUGACUCUGUAUAACUUUGGGCUGAUCGCACGGGCCCGUCCCGGCGACGUAUCUUUCAAGUGUCUGCCUUAUCAACUUUCGAUGGUAGGUUACGCGCCUACCAUGGUCGUAACGGGUAACGGGGAAUCAGGGUUCGAUUCCGGAGAGGGAGCCUGAGAAACGGCUACCACAUCCAAGGAAGGCAGCAGGCGCGCAAAUUACCCACUCCCAGAACGGGGAGGUAGUGACGAAAAAUAACAAUACGGGACUCUUUUGAGACCCCGUAAUUGGAAUGAGUACACUUUAAAUCCUUUAACGAGGAUCCAUUAGAGGGCAAGUCUGGUGCCAGCAGCCGCGGUAAUUCCAGCUCUAAUAGCGUAUAUUAAAGUUGUUGCGGUUAAAAAGCUCGUAGUUGGAUCUCAGUUCCAGACGGGUGGUCCUCCUUACGGUGGCUACUGCCUGUUCUGAACAGCCAGCCGGUUUCUCUUGAUGAUCUUCACCGGUUGUCUUGGGUGACCGGCAAGUUUACUUUGAAAAAAUUAGAGUGCUCAAAGCAGGCGUGACGCCUGAAUAAUGGUGCAUGGAAUAAUGGAAUAGGACCUCGGUUCUAUUUUGUUGGUUUUCGGAACACGAGGUAAUGAUUAAGAGGGACAGACGGNGGCAUUCGUAUUGCGACGCUAGAGGUGAAAUUCUUGGACCGUCGCAAGACGAACUACUGCG
rnacentral:rRNA from 1 species